GCAGAGUAGGAUAUUGCGCGUGUCAUGGGGCUCAUGACGAGUGCCGCCUGGACGGGGAGUUGCCGGGCGGACGAAUAGCCGGCCAUCGGCUUGCGGUGCGGUAUCCGCAUCCCGCUGC
rnacentral:ncRNA from 2 species